UUUGCUAAACAGGGUACUUUCUCGUGAAUGAUCUGCCAGUUGGGUCCUUGGAUCCCCACUCUUUAAGGGUUGAAGAUAAUGCGCUGGUUCUACCCCCGGUAGGCUCUGGUCCCGAGGACAGAGACUACGGUGGCAGAACUAGACGCUGCGUCAUAGGAAUUUUGGAAGAAACCGGGUCCUGGAAGGAUCGGGACGACUUCUUGUCGAGGUUGAGCGAGGCAGGACUCACAAUAAAACAGUUCAACGCAUUAUACUUCCACCGGCUCUUACAAAACAGAGAUCAGAGGACAGUGUUGCCUGUUCAAUUCAUUGACAGGCUGCGGCAUCGCUCUGUGAGUUAUAAUGGAAGCUUACAGCCAUGGGAGAAAGCUUACACCGAUUGGGAGCGUGCUAACUAUAAGGAGAAUAUAGACCCGCAUAAGGCAUGCUCAGUGGAUCCAUGGGCUUUAAAAGUGUACAAGUUCAACACUUACACGGACGAUCCAGCUAACCGUGUAAAGCUUGCAAGGAAUAUCAUGAUUCAUCUUAAUGAUUACAGGGUCCGCGAACAUAAAUGUCUAUACACUCCCUACCAACUUGGCGCUCUGGUAGAUGAAAUUUUUACAGAUCUUGGCUCCAGAUUGUUCGAGUUCCUAUUGGUCCGCCUAGCUCUUCAAUAAUUAUUGUGAUCACUAAAUACUGAUCACUAUUUAAAAAUAAAAAAUAAUAUAAAAAAUAAAUAAAAACUGGAUUGGAAACAUGAGAGAUUGGAAGAAUCUCAAUUUGCUACCAAAUACUAAAAGAUGGAGGGUUGGAGGGAUAUCUCAAGAAAAUUAGCUGUUGGACUGAAGAAGGGCUACUAGAUUGGGUCAACCUACAUCCAAAGCAACAGAUGGUAGUCAAACCACCAAAAGUAGCAUAGUCUGUGGUGAUUGUGAAGGAAAUGGGGUAAAAGGGAGAUUCUGUGUGGAAAUUGCAAUGGUGCUGGGCUCAUUAGAGGAUUCGUGAGCACACGGGGUUCCUAUAAAGAACAGUAACCCAUAUCAGAAUAGCCGGAAAAAAUGUUGUUCAAUGUAUAUUCCUAUAAUGAAUUUUGUACUCUCAUUUGGGUUGC